CGUCAUCCAUGCCGGCGCCCUUCAGCUUGCGGACCAGCUUUUCACUGCUUCGACGUAUGGACUCUCGCAGUUUGGUGAAGGAGCCGCUGCGCCUCAGGGGUCCCUCCUGGUGGGAUUGGGCCUCAUCUCCGCCCGACCAGCUCGGCCGGGCGUCACCUGGACGACAAGACGGGAAACCUCUAGACCGGAAUAGCCCAACGCUACGACCCACAGCUAAUUUUCACGGCAAGAUGAAAAAUACUAUUACAGAAAAAAAACAUAAAAAGUGGAAUAAAUAGCAAUCAGGUGAAAGGUAACGAAAACAAGUUGCAAUGUUAACUCUAAUAACACAAAGCUGUCAUCUUUAAAACUCAUUGCUCAAAAACAACAAAUCAAAAUCUGUACUUCACAUUAAAUAUUCCUUUUGGAAAUAUUUGUUUGGAAAAAUAUUUCCAUAAUUGGUGUUUUACCUUAAAAACGGUUUUAUUUAGGUUUUUGUAGGGGACGACAUGACGCAGUUGGGAGAGUGGCUGUGCCAGCAACCUGAGGGUUCCUGGUUCGAUCGCCACCUUCUACCAACCUCGUAAUGUCCGUUGUGUCCUUGAGAAAGACAGUUCACCCUUGCUCCUGAUGGGUGCUGGUUAGGGCCUUGCAUGGCAGCUCCCACCAUCAGUGUGUGAAUGUGUGUGUGAAUGGGUGAAUGUGAAAAUAGUGUCAAAGCGUACCUUGAAGGUAGAAAAGCGCUAUACAAGUAUAACCCAUUUUCCAUUUGACAAAAAGUGCAUAAAACAAGCAAACAAACAAAAUCAAAUGAAAAAAAAACAACCUUAUGAUCAACAGACAUCUUGUUCUGAAGUUAAUUUAAGAGUAAAAAGUAAAAAAAAAAAAAAGGUUUGAUAUAUUUUCACUACUUUUAUGAGUGGGGGGUCUUUUUCUUUAGCGUGUUAGUUGGAUUUUUUUUUUUUUAAUUGCCAUUUUUCAAAAACUAUUAAUUAAUUGAAAAUCAAUGUUAUGAUUUAUUGAACUAUUUAAGGCUCCAAUCCCUUCCCAUCUAAUAUUCCACUGGGAAAUUUUUGGAAAGAAAAUAUUGCAUAUUUUGUGUUUCUGCCAAAGAAAACAGUUAUGACAAAAAGAGCAUAAAUCAAUAACAGAUAGAUUUGAAGUUAUAUUGAUACAACGUAUUUAACAUUUUUAUGACUGAGACCCUUCCAGGUUUUCGAGACUAAACUGGAAGGGAGCACUAAAGGUUAAAAAAAAAAUGUAAUCUUGUAUUGGAUUUGAAAAUGACAAAUAUCACAACGGCCCCUGCAUGCUUUGAUAUUUUCAGUGUGUGGCUCUCAGUGGAAAAAAUGUGGACACCCCCAGUCUUUGUUCUCACGUUUGCCACGGCAACUCACCUUCCACAGAUCCAAACUCCUUCUCAUGUGCUCUGGUGAGGAUCUCCUUGUACAGCGCUUCUGCCUGACGAUACUUUCCCUGCUUGAGGUAACAGGAUGCCUGCCAGCAAGAGAAGGUAAGGAGAGCAUGAAGCCAGGUCAUUUUAUAUCAUAACCCCACCUAGGGGUGUAACGGUACGUGUAUUUGUAUUGAACCGUUUCGGUACAGGGGUUUCGGUUUGGUUCGGAGGUGAACCGACAGGUUUCCACAAGGUCAUAUUAAGUAGCGUACUGCACGUUGUAUAAACAAUGCACAUUGAUUGAUUGAUUGAAAUUUUUAUUAGUAGAUUGAACAGUUCAGUACACAUUCCGUACAAUUGACCACUAAAUGGUAACACCCGAAUAAGUUUUUCAACUUGUUAAAGUCGGGGUCCACGUUAAUCAAUUCUUGGCACAACACAAGGCAUGCUAGCAGCGACCGGGCUACGAUAGACUGACCAUACCUCCUCUUUUCACCGGAUAUGUCCUCUUUUGCGGGGCUGUCCGGGUGGAGUUUCUUAAAUGCCUCAAAUGUCCGGCAUUUUAAGUUAGGGUUGCGUGUAUUAUCAAUGUACGUUCAGGGUUAAGAAGGGGUUAAAAACAAAACCAAAUUGUGCACGCAGCAACAUUCGUAAGGGAGGGGCAGAGAGUGAGAGAGUUAUGAUAAACGCGCAUGCGUUGCCAGGCUCUGCUUUUUACCCAUAGAUUUAUCAGAUUUAAUUCUUUUAUUAUCUAUAGCAGGGGUGUCAAAAGUGCCCGGAGGCCAUUUGCGGCCCACAGUUAAUGUUUUAAAGACCCACGGCACAUUCUAAAAAUACUAUUAAAAUAAACAAAAACAUAAACAUAAGUGAAAUAAAAAAGCUUUAAAGCUAAAUGUAAUUUAGAAAAAGUUGCAACGUUAAAUAAAAAAAAGCAGUUUUUUUUUUUUUCAAGCUGUCAUUGCUCAAAACAUAAUAUUGAAUCAAAAUCAAUGUUACUAUAAAUGAUUGACCUAUCCAAGGUUCCCAUUACUUCACAUCAAAUAUUCCACUAAGAAAAAUAUUUUGGUGGAAGUUUUGCAAAUUUGGGAAAAAUACAUAACCAAAAAAUGUAUAUUUUGUUGUUUUCUUACUGUACCGAAAAUGAACUGAACCAUGACCUCUGAACCGAGGUACGUACCGAACCGAAAUUUUUGUGUACCGUUACACCCAUAACCCCACCCCAAUCUGUGUCUCACCAGGUUGUUUUUGGUCUUGGCCACGUUGGCGUCGUCGGGGCCCAGUCUACUCUGGUAGAUGUGCAGAGCGCGCUCGUAGUACUGCUCCACUUCUUGGUACUUGCCCUGGUUCUGACACAGCAGCGCCAAGUUGUUCAGCUGCUUGGCUACGUCGGGAUGGUCUGUGCCCAGAACCUGCCAGGGGGGAAGGUGUAAGAGUAAGGGGCGCAGUGGGGAGGCGGGGCUUAGGCUCACCUUCUCUCUGAUCUGCAGCGCUCGUUUGCACAGUGGCUCCGCCUCCGUGUAUUUGCCUCGUUUACCAUAAAGCACCGCCAGGUUGUUCAAGGUGGCUGCCACCUGCGCACACGCACAAACACAUGCAUAUAUAUAUAAAGAUAUGUGUGUAUGACACACAAAAAACAAAGAACUUACUGCAGGGUGGUCCAAUCCCAAUGUUUUCUCCCUAAUGGCCAGCGCAUCAUUCAGCAGGUUAGCGGCUUCUUUGUAUUUGUUUUGGUCUCUGAAGAAAUCCAGUUUUUAUGUCAGUCAGGAUUCGGUGCAGAAAUCUUAAGACCAUCACAUAUGGUCGCCAUUACUCUCACCUGUACACCAGCGCAAGGAUGUUCAACAUGGUGGCGACAUCAGGGUGGGUGUGGCCGGACGACUUCUCCAAAUCCUCCAAAGCCUGUGGACAUGGGAGAGGAGCUUCAGAGGCUUUCAGAGGGGGACGGCGACCUCGUAGCGGCCCUGCGAGGCGUACUGGAUGACAAGGUUGUGGAGCGUGCGGAGGCGGGCGGGAAUCUCGUAGCCGCCCUGCUGGGCCGCGGCGGCUGCGCUGCUGUGGGAAGUGGUGGUACUACAGGAUAGUGGUGCUUAUACCAGGGGUGUCCAAACUACGGCCCGCAGGCCAAGUAAGACCUGCCAGCGUCUUCAAAUUGGUCCACGAGACGUCAUGAGUUCAUUAGAGCAUCGCACCGCAGAGUGCGUUCAAAUUCAUCUUAAAUACCAGGCGAUCUCUGAAUGCUACAUAUUCGCUGCCAUCUUGUGGACAAUAAGAGGAAAUUAGCCCUUGAAUGUACUUCAUUAUAACACAGAAUUUAUUUAUAUGACAACAUCCAAACUAAAACCUUAGUCAUAAUGCAAAACAAAUCCAACUAACAUAAAAGGUCAACACACAUGGUCAGAAAUAACACAACCUGCUUGUGGAUAUAAAAAAAAAUGUUCAAACACCAUUAAAAAAAUUCUAAAUUGCACCCCUUUAAAUAUAUCAGAGUGCAUGAUGGGAACAAUGUAAAACAUUAUCUCCACACGUAUUUAUGUUUGACACAUUUCAUCUGCUUGAUAUUUGUGAUCGAUUAGAAAUCUAUAAGAAGGUUGUCAUGGAAGUAAACAAGGUAGGAGUCGAAUUUUCACAUACUCUUAAUAUCCAUUAUAUGAAUUACAUAUCCAUAAUAUUAACAUAUUGUCUACAUAUAUAUAUUUACUUUACAUGCAGUCGGUUUUUGACCCCAGACACAUUUUUUUUUAGCCCAAUGCGGCCACAAAGUCAAAAAGUCUGGACACCCCUGACUUAGUGUGCACGUGUCUUACUUUGUGACGACUCCUCAUCCUCGGCAGGAAAAAGGUCGUCAAGAGAUUCUUUGUUGGAGGAUGUGUUCUUGUUGUCCUGAGCAAACAAACAAACAUCAGCCAAUAAGUUUUAUGCUAUUGUUCUGAAGUACUAAUUAAUCAAAAUUAUUUGUAACAGUUUGUAUCACAUGACAACCAGGGUUAUUCUUUUCCACUGAUGAAUGGUAAUAAUAAUAACUAGAGAUCGAUUGAUAUGCCUUAUCCAAGACCUCCUUUCAGUAGUCAAGGAGGCCGAUAACCGAUAAUAGGUUCUGAUAUUCAUUUGCAGUGAAAGUUAUUUAAGCAUGAAUAGUAUAUGUCAGUAAUAAGCUGGACAAGGCUAUAAGUUUUUAGUUUUUUUCUUUUUUUUACAUUAUUUUUCAGGAAACGUCGGAUCAGUAAUGACGUAAUGUUUUAUGUGGUGCUAAUGUGGUUAAUUUAGCACCAAAAUACAUCAGGGGAUUUCACAAACACAUUAAAUGUGUCUAAGAGGAACAUCAAUAUUUGAAAAUAGAUAUGGAAUUAUCCUGGAAAAUUUGUAAAAAAAAAUAUAUAGCAUUUCUCUACAUCAAAAUAACUCACCAUCUUCUCAAUUUUAUGGAUUUAAUAUUUUAUAAGGUUUCCUCAUGGGGAACCCUGAUAUAUUGUUUGGUUGAAUUUUAUUUUGAAUAUGUAAAUAGUUUCAACAGGAUAUGUCAAAUAUUUUAACUUUUCUUUACAACGUGUUUAAAAAAAAGAGUAGGAAGAAGCAAAGCUUAUUUAAUCCUACCCCUUUUCCACUUCAUAGCAAUUACUAUCAACUUCCCGUUCUCUAUUUGUAACAACAUCUGCAUUAAAUAAUUUUUCAAUUUGCCAUGACUGAUAUGAAAUACAUGAUUUUUUAAAUAUGGCCAAAAUUUAAAUGCAAACAAUUCUGGGCUCCUUUGUGUAGCUGAUAGGUGACACAUUUUAUUAAGCUGACUGACAUUUCUUACUGGAUGUUAUGGAAAGUACAGUAUGAGAAUGUGUGAGCUGCUUCCUGCUCUUCCUUACUUAUUAUAAAAUAUAAUGAUAUUUUAUAUAUAUACACACACACACACACACACACAC